ACUUCAUUUACCCGAACAAACCUCAUUCUCAAUCUAUUUAUAAUUUAUAAUUUAUAAUUAUAAUUAUUAAAAAUAUUUAUUUCCGCUACAGUGUGCCACUUUCUUCCUUUGAUUUAAGAGAGUGAUAAAAUAUAUAUAUUUAUAUAAAAAAGAAAGCGAGAAGAGUAUGGAAGGAUUGUGAGUGUAACCGCCUCAGACAUUCACGCGACGGUGGUGAUGAUGGAGUAAUUGCCUACUUCAACUUUUUUUUCAGCACAGCCACACCGUUCUCCGCGAUGGACUCCGUUCCUUUUCGCGAUGGCAACAUACACUCCAUUCUCGACUCCCGAUACCUCCACUCUCCCCUCGAGGUUAAUCACAGUUUGCAGGCUCAUUCCUCGUUGAUUCGGAGGCUUUCUCUGGAGAGGGAGUUAGAGGGCCACCAUGGCUGUGUCAAUGCGGUGGCUUGGAAUUCCAAUGGUUCGUUGUUGAUAUCUGGAUCAGAUGAUACACGGAUCAAUAUUUGGAGCUAUUCUGGCCGAAAACUUUUACAUUCAAUUGACACAGGACAUACUGCAAAUAUAUUUUGUACCAAGUUUAUACCAGAAACUUCCAAUGAGCUUGUAGCUUCUGGAGCUGGAGAUGCUGAAGUCCGGUUAUUUAAUUUAUCUCGCUUAAGUGGGGGUGACAAUGCCAUCAUUGCUCCAGCUGCACUUUACCAAUGCCACACUCGAAGAGUCAAGAAAUUGGCUGUUGAAAAUGGAAACCCCAAUGUAGUAUGGAGUGCCAGUGAAGAUGGGACCGUUAGACAACAUGAUUUUCGAGAAGGUACCUCUUGUCCUCCAGCUGGAUCUUCGCACCAAGAGUGUCGAAAUAUUCUUCUUGACUUAAGAUGUGGAGCUAAAAGGUCACUUGCUGAUCCUCCUAAACAAGUCCUUGCUUUAAAAUCUUGUGAUAUCAGUUCAACUAGACCACAUUUGCUCCUUGUUGGUGGGAGUGAUGCCUUUGCACGCUUAUAUGAUAGAAGGAUGCUGCCGCCUCUUAGCUCAUGCCGGAAAAGAAUGUCUCCACCUCCUUGUGUUAAUUAUUUCUGUCCAAUGCAUCUUUCUGAUCGUGGACAUCCAAGUUUGCACUUGACUCAUGUUACAUUCAGUCCUGAUGGACAUGAGGUUCUCCUCAGCUAUAGUGGAGAGCAUGUUUACUUGAUGAAUGUAAAUUAUGCUGGAGUGAAUGAAAUGCAAUAUACUUCAGGAGACAUAUCAAAGCUGAUGACUUACUCUCCGACUAUUAAUGGGACUGAGUUGCAGCCUUGUGUGUCUAAUGUUUUCCCAAAUGGAUUUCCUAUAAAAAAGAACAUUGCUGCAAUGUUUGACAAGUGCAGGAAACUAAUAAAAUAUGCUAAGAAAUCAUUGGACUCUGGGACACCCUAUUAUGGAAUUGAGGCAUGUAAUGAGGUUUUGAAUGGCUAUAGCCAUAUUAUUGGACCUGCACUGAAACAUGAAUGCUUGUGUACUCGUGCUGCACUACUGAUCAAGAGGAAGUGGAAAAAUGAUGCUCAUAUGGCUAUAAGAGACUGCUAUGCUGCCAGGAAAAUUGAUGAUUCCUCCUAUAAAGCCCUUUACCAUAUGUCAGAAGCGUUGUCGCAGUUGGGUAGACAUGAAGAUGCUUUGGAUUUUGCUGUUGCUUCCCAUUUGUUGGCCCCUUCCAAAUCUGAACUUGCAGAAAGAGUGGAAAAUGUGAAGAAGGAUAUUGCUUUAGCUGAAGCUGAAAAAAAUAGUAAGACCAAUGAUGGACCAUCAAGGUUUGACAGUCGGGGUGGAAGAAUAUUAUCAUUAAGUGACAUACUAUAUCGACAUGAGGCCAACGGUGAUGCUCCACAAGAUGGUCCGAGAUCAGAGAGGGAUGAUUCUGAUUACGAUGAGGAAUUGGAGUUGGACUUUGAAACAUCAAUAUCUGGUGACGAGGGACAUGAUAUUGAAUCAAAUAUUCUUCAUGGAAGUUUAAAUCUUAGAAUUCAUAGGAGAGGUGACUCCAGAGACAAUUCUGGAGCAAGUGGCUUGUGUGAAUCACCAUCAUCAUCACAGAGCAGUAGAACAUCUUAUCAGCCUGAACCAGCUGUUGAUAUGAAACAGAGAUUUAUUGGCCACUGCAAUAUUGGCACUGACAUAAAACAAGCCAGUUUUCUUGGUCAAAGAGGUGAAUAUGUUGCCACUGGAAGUGAUGAUGGCAGAUGGUUUAUUUGGGAAAAGCGUACUGGUAGACUCAUAAAAAUGCUGAACGGGGAUGAAUCUGUUGUAAAUUGUGUACAAUGCCAUCCAUUUGAUUUUGUUGUUGCAACCAGUGGGAUUGAUAGCACAAUAAAGAUAUGGACUCCAAGUGCUCCUGUUGCAUCUUCUGUAGCUGGUGGUUCAGCAGGACCAGAAACUGGUGAUGUGUUGGUUGCUAUGGAGAGCAAUCAACAAAAAAUAUCCCGUAGCCGUAAUUCUAUCUUGCCCUUUGAGCUUUUGGAACCGUUUAGAAUGCAUGAGUUUCCUGAAGGAUCAUUACGCUUGCGUCCAUUUGAAUGUGCUCAAAGCUAAAGGUUUGCUAAUUCCCGUCUGCUGGUAAAUCCUACUUUGUUCAUUUCUCUUGCACGUGAGUAAUAUUCGGAUUCCUUUAUAAGACCCUGUCCAGAUAAAUUGAAAGGUGCUCUUUUGGUUGUGCGCAUGAAUCUGGACAUCGAUGGGGAGCAUUAUCUCAGUGGGUAGGAGCUUUGACUAUGGGAGGCAUUUUAAGGACGCGCAGAAUAAUUUGGGACGUUGAAAAUAAAUCUGGGGUGUUAUCCUGGAUUUUUUUUGGUAAAAAGGUAUUAUCCUGGAUUUAUUUCCUGGACUGUUUAUGAUUUGAAAAAAAAAAAAAACAAAAACAAAAAACA